ACAUGGGCUGAAUGUGGCUGAGUGAGAUCAGUGUAUUUAUUAAUCAUGUUAUGAAAUUUUUGUAAGUUUGUUUUCUUCAGUAGACCUUCACCACAGUUAGUGCAUCUAUAUUUUUACUUGUGAUGUGAUGUGGUGACAUUACUGACCACUUAAGUACUGAUGGCAUGCAAAAUAAGAUCUGCGAUUCAAUGUCUCUGUUGUUUCAGUUUUAUGAUGACAGCAUCACAACGAUAUUCUUAGCUAUGCACAUAGAUGAUGUCUUCACUCUUUAACCCUCCUUCAUUCUGUGCUGAUUUCAAACAUCCACCCUGCACACACUCAAGGGAGACCAAAAGCGGCAGUGAUGAUAAAUGAAAAUGAUGAAUCCCUCACUGUCAGAUGUGAAAUACCAGGACCUGAAGAUGACUGGACAUACAGCUGGUUUAUAGAGGGGUCAUCUCUUCCCUUCAGCUCUGACAGAGAAUUCAGCAUCAGAACUGGUGUAUCUGACACUAGCAGUAACGUCACCUGUAGAGGAGAGAGAGAAAGUAAUGGACAGAAGUCAGAAAUCAGUGGUGCUGUUACACUGACUGUAUCACAGGCACCUAAAGCUCGUCUGACUGUUCAGACAGAAACAUCACAGAUAUUCAGAGGAGAGACUGUCACUCUCACAUGUGACGUACAGGGGGAAGGUUGGAGAUACACAUGGCAGUGUGGAGAUAAACAGCAAAACUCUGAUGAGGAAGAGUUCAAGAGCACUGUACAGUUCAAACAGUCAUGCAAGUGUAAAGGCUGCAGAGAAUCAUUCUGCUCUGAAUGGAGUGAUGCUGAGACGCUGACUGAUUCGUGUGAGUGAUCAUCACUGAUACACAUCAGGAUCUUGAUCAAAUGCAUAAACAAUUAAUUGCCUCCAACUGAGAAAAACAUACCAGUAAACAUUUCUAGAUGCUGUAUGUGAGACAGACUGAAUGUUAAUAGUGUCUGCUUAAUCUCAAUACAUGACAUUAACUUACCACAUACUGUGU